GUGGGGAAUAUUGGGCAAUGGGCGCAAGCCUGACCCAGCAACGCCGCGUGAAGGAAGAAGGCUUUCGGGUUGUAAACUUCUUUUACCAGGGACGAAACAAAUGACGGUACCUGGUGAAUAAGCCACGGCUAACUACGUGCCAGCAGCCGCGGUAAUACGUAGGUGGCGAGCGUUAUCCGGAUUUAUUGGGUGUAAAGGGCGUAUAGGCGGGACAGCAAGUCAGAUGUGAAAACCAGAGGCUCAACCUCUGGCCUGCAUUUGAAACUGUUGUUCUUGAGUGUCGGAGAGGUAAUCGGAAUUCCGUGUGUAGCGGUGAAAUGCGUAGAUAUACGGAGGAACACCAGUGGCGAAGGCGGAUUACUGGACGAUAACUGACGCUGAGGCGCGAAAGCGUGGGGAGCAAACAGGAUUAGAAACCCGUGUAGUCC
rnacentral:rRNA from 1 species